UGCGUAACGCGUAUGCAAUCUACCUUGUACAGGGGAAUAGCCCAGGGAAACUUGGAUUAAUGCCCCAUGGUAUUAUUUUGUAGCAUUACAUUAUAAUUAAAGAUUUAUCGGUACAAGAUGAGCAUGCGUCCCAUUAGUUAGUUGGUGAGGUAACGGCUUACCAAGACGACGAUGGGUAGGGGCCCUGAGAGGGGGAUCCCCCACACUGGUACUGAGACACGGACCAGACUCCUACGGGAGGCAGCAGUGAGGAAUAUUGGACAAUGGGCGAAAGCCUGAUCCAGCCAUGCCGCGUGCAGGAAGACGGCCCUAUGGGUUGUAAACUGCUUUUGUACGGGAAGAAACACCCCCACGUGUGGGGGCUUGACGGUACCGUAAGAAUAAGCAUCGGCUAACUCCGUGCCAGCAGCCGCGGUAAUACGGAGGAUGCAAGCGUUAUCCGGAAUCAUUGGGUUUAAAGGGUCCGUAGGCGGACAAUUAAGUCAGAGGUGAAAUUCUACGGCUCAACCGUAGAACUGCCUUUGAAACUGGUUGUCUUGAAUCGUUGUGAAGUGGUUGGAAUGAGCAGUGUAGCGGUGAAAUG
rnacentral:rRNA from 1 species